UCAGAGAACCCAGGUGUGUUAAGCUUGGAUAUUGCACUGCAAGACUUGAAUCUAUAAACGUAGCGUCGCUUAGAUCACACAGGUCAUUACUACAAACAGCACGAAGAUCCUGAAAGAAGGUGCACAGACUGUAGGGAAAGAAUAACAACAAAACCCAGUUUUUUUUUAUAUUUCAGUGAUUCCAAAGAGCAUUCUAGUUUUUUUAAACUACAGAAAAUUGGUGGUAUUUUCAUCCAUGGUGUUUCUAUCCAGUUUCAGUACCCAUGUUUUGUGAGGAAAAUGUUUUACCAAUGCAGGAGGAACUCUUAAACCAAUUGCAAUGUUAGACUGGAGAAAAUUGGUAGUUAGUGUAUCUUUGAGGUACCAUCAAAUCAGGUUUUUUUGUUUUGUUUUGUUUUUAAAAAUUUUUUAAUCAGUAUUGUUUUGGGAAGUAAUAUACUUUGAAACUCUUCAAUUAGUAAUCUCUAGAAGACAGCCUGGGAACACAUAUUCUGUUGUUUCAAAUAAAUACAUGUUUUUGAAUAGCAAGUUC
rnacentral:lncRNA from 1 species